rnacentral:rRNA from 1 species
UACAGAGACCUCAAGCGUUAUCCGGAAUCAUUGGGCGUAAAGCGUACCGAUAGGUUGUUUAUUAAGUCUUGGGUAAAAGCCGGAAGCUCAACUUCCGCGUUUGCUUAAGAUACUAAUAGACUAGAGGGGCAAAGAGGUGCUUGGAACGAACGGUGUAGUAGUGAAAUGCGUUGAUAUCGUUCGGAACACCGAAAGCGAAGGCAGAGCACUGGGUGCCACCUGACACUGCUAGGACGAAAGCGUGGGGAGCGAACAGG